rnacentral:rRNA from 1 species
UACGUAGGUGGCAAGCGUUGUCCGGAUUUACUGGGCGUAAAGAGCGCGCAGGCGGUCGUUCAAGUCGCGUGUGAAAGCCCCCGGCUCAACUGGGGAGGGUCACGCGAUACUGAUCGACUCGAAGGCAGGAGAGGGUAGUGGAAUUCCUAGUGUAGGAGUGAAAUCCGUAGAUAUUAGGAGGAACACCGGUGGCGAAGGCGGCUACCUGGACCGAUAUUGACGCUGAGACGCGAAAGCGUGGGGAGCAAACAGG